rfam:Bombyx mori DNA, contig: Bm_scaf16_contig11897, strain: p50T/Dazao, build 2, whole genome shotgun sequence.
CCUCAUACCUUUGGCAUGGGUACGUUCUUCAAUAGCGUGACAUGAAUGCAAGUAUGAGGUACAUUAAAUACAGCUAUAUGCCUUCGGUGUUCAUGCUAAACAAAUGCCUGAAUCCCAUCCUCAAAUGUUGUGACAUUU